CUUAAAUUGAAGAGUUUGAUCAUGGCUCAGAUUGAACGCUGGCGGCAGGCCUAACACAUGCAAGUCGAGCGGUAGCAC
rnacentral:rRNA from 1 species